GUCAGUGUGCCAGUGCUGCUCUGGAUUGGGUAGUCAUUGUCUGAUAUCACCACUGGUAGAAGAUGUGAUGAGGGGCAAGCCUGGUUGAGAAUGGUGUAUUACCUUAUGGGGCUUGAAGCUGAAUCAGGAUCCCGUGCCAUUACCGUUCCUAUUAUUGUCCCCAACUCGAUAUCUUCAUGCACCUCAAAAAGUGUCUGCAUCAGUGGCUUUGACGCUGCCAAUGGCUGUCCCAACUGGGGAGGACUCAGGAAUGCGGAGGUGGAUGGUACCUGUCAAAGAAACAAAGAGCCACUCAGGAGCCCCACAAGCCACUACACAAGCAUUAAGUAAUGUCUGUGUCACACAAUAGCUGAUUACAUAUUUUUGUGUAUCUUUUAUUCUAGAGAUUCCCCCUUUUAAUACAGAUGGGGUGGGCAAAGUAUGAGGCAGAGAACUAUAUAUGAGAAAAAGUUUAGGUGGAAGAGUGAAAACAAAAUUGUAGAAAAACAAAAUCAUAGGAAAAUAGGAUUUAAAAGCCCUUCUAUAUUCCUAUCCCAAAGAAGGAUCAACUAUAUCUAUCUGUACUUUUCCCUAAAUUCUCCAUCCAACUAUAAGAAGCAGAUUGAAAUUUCAGUCUGCUUUCAAUUUUCAAUUGGAUUUUCAAUUGUCAGAUACAAUAUUAAAUAAAUAAAAUGAAAGGUUCUUGAAAAUCCACAAGCAGAAACUGUGCCUACACUUGUUAAAGCAGUAAUUCAUGCUUGAUUAAGACUCAUGAACACUGCAAUUUUGGUUUUGUCCUUUUUCUUCUGGCUCAGUUGCAUCUGUUUAUUGUGGUUUCAUAGUGCAGAUAAAAAACACAGGAGUAAAACUGUCCUCAUCCAGAAAUGCUGCAAUAAAUUAAAAUAAAUAUCUUACUCUACAUUUUAGUAUUCUAUGUCUUAGCCAUCCUGCUAAACUGUAAAUAAGGAUUGAGGUCUCUGAUCCCAUCCAUCAGAACAUAGGGUAGCAAAAGGUUUGUGACACAUAACACACUAAGAAUUCUCAAAAAAAAAAAAGAUUUUAAAAUGAAUACAGAUACAGCUGCCAUUACAAUGACAAAUGCUAAGUCAUCUAAGCUCUACUGAAAAACAUUUUCUUUUCUGCCCUUAUUUACGUGUUUCUAGAUUUGUUGUUUUACUUAAAUACCUCAUGAGCUAAGUAAAGUGAGUUAGAAAGACAAUUUAGAUAACAGUAAUAAAAAAGUGGAAGAGUCAAAGGCCAGUACCAUCAACAGGAAAAAUGAAUAGGCUACACAAAAGGCAGCACAUACAUACCUAGUUACAGAUAAAAAGUACAGAAAAGUUCAUAAAGGAAGUUAAUAGUUUUGUGUGAUCAGAAAGAAUCAUGGGGAAAGAGUAGUAGCAACAUGACCUUAUCAUAUAUUCAGGAAAACACAGGUGGGGAUUAUCAGUGUAUUUUAACAGAUUAUGUUCUCAGGCAACUAGAGAAUUACAGAGGGACUGUUUUGGGUUUUGAGGAGACACACUGAAAAAAAAAAAAAAAUGCCCUGUUGUUCACUAGGAAGUUUAAGAGUUUCUCUCAGUCUGCGGAACUAUUUUUUCUGUGCCAUUAUUUUGUAGUUUGCAAACCUAAAAAAAAAA